rnacentral:rRNA from 1 species
GACGAACGCUGGCGGCGUGCCUAAUACAUGCAAGUCGAACGAACUCUGGUAUUGAUUGGUGCUUGCAUCAUGAUUUACGUUUGAGUGAGUGGCGAACUGGUGAGUAACACGUGGGAAACCUGCCCAGAAGCGGGGGAUAACACCUGGAAACAGAUGCUAAUACCGCAUAACAACUUGGACCGCUUGGUCCGAGCUUGAAAGAUGGCUUCGGCUAUCACUUUUGGAUGGUCCCGCGGCGUAUUAGCUAGAUGGUGAGGUAAUGGCUCACCAUGGCAAUGAUACGUAGCCGACCUGAGAGGGUAAUCGGCCACAUUGGGACUGAGACACGGCCCAAACUCCUACGGGAGGCAGCAGUAGGGAAUCUUCCACAAUGGACGAAAGUCUGAUGGAGCAACGCCGCGUGAGUGAAGAAGGGUUUCGGCUCGUAAAACUCUGUUGUUAAAGAAGAACAUAUCUGAGAGUAACUGUUCAGGUAUUGACGGUAUUUAACCAGAAAGCCACGGCUAACUACGUGCCAGCCGCCGCGGUAA